rnacentral:rRNA from 1 species
GUCAAAUCAUCAUGCCCCUUAUGUCUUGGGCUUCACGCAUGCUACAAUGGCCGGUGCAACGAGCUGCAAAACCGUGAGGUUGAGCGAAUCUCUAAAAGCCGGUCUCAGUUCGGAUUGGGGUCUGCAACUCGACCCCAUGAAGUCGGAGUCGCUAGUAAUCGCAGAUCAGCAACGCUGCGGUGAAUACGUUCCCGGGCCUU